rnacentral:rRNA from 1 species
AUUGAACGCUGGCGGCAUGCCUUACACAUGCAAGUCGAACGGCAGCACGGGAGCUUGCACCUGGUGGCGAGUGGCGAACGGGUGAGUAAUACAUCGGAACGUACCCAGUAGUGGGGGAUAACGCACCGAAAGGUGCGCUAAUACCGCAUACGACCUACGGGUGAAAGCGGGGGACCGUAAGGCCUCGCGCUAUUGGAGCGGCCGAUGUCUGAUUAGCUAGUUGGCGGGGUAAAAGCCCACCAAGGCGACGAUCAGUAGCUGGUCUGAGAGGACGAUCAGCCACACUGGGACUGAGACACGGCCCAGACUCCUACGGGAGGCAGCAGUGGGGAAUUUUGGACAAUGGGGGCAACCCUGAUCCAGCAAUGCCGCGUGUGCGAAGAAGGCCUUCGGGUUGUAAAGCACUUUUGUCAGGGAAGAAAUCUUUCAGGCUAAUACCCUUGGAAGGAUGACGGUACCUGAAGAAUAAGCACCGGCUAACUACGUGCCAGCCGCCGCGGUAA